ACAGAUUUUUUUGAUGGAUCUUAAUAGAUAAAUAUUUGAACAAAUUCAAGCUAACUCCAUAAAUGGGGUCAUCAGCAAAAAAUGCAUUAACACAUGCAUAAUUAAUAGCCAACAAAACAGAUCAUUUUCUCAUUGUUGAAGAGUAACAAUAACAUUUUUCAUGUGAUAUCCAUCUCGUAACACAUCAGCUCAUCAUCACCACAAGUACCAGCAGUCAUGCAUAAUUAGCCAACAAAACAGAUCAUUUUCUCAUUGUUGAAGAGUAACAAUAACAUUUUUCAUGUGAUAUCCAUCUGGUAACACAUCAGCUCAUCAUCACCACAAGUACCAGCAGUCCCUUAUCUUCUAAUUGCAUUAUCCACAUCAUCAGCUCCUCAUCACCACCAGUAGCAGCAG
rnacentral:lncRNA from 1 species